ACACAAGAGAAUCCUCCCUCGGCAAUUGCAUUGCGUACGUGAACUUUGAUAUUACCAAUAUCAAUGCUACGACCUUCAAGCCCAGUCUGUUCCUUGGGCAUAAAAGGUUUGAAUCUCCACAUCUUAAAUAAUUCUUGAUGUUGUUAGUUACCGAUCGAGCACAAGAAAACAAGACACCCCAGAUCAGGAAAUGAAGAAAAUUUCCUACAGUAACUGCAUUUAAAGAGCUUUGAUGAUGAAUUGAUGAGAUCUGAGACUGAAGAUUUGGGAGGUUCUUGGGAUUCAGGGGAAUGCUGGUGAGAUCUAAGAGAAGUGUACAGUAAUCUUUGAGGGGUUCUA
rnacentral:misc_RNA from 1 species